AGACCCGAAACCCGGUGAUCUAGCCAUGGGCAGGUUGAAGGUUGGGUAACACUAACUGGAGGACCGAACCGACUAAUGUUGAAAAAUUAGCGGAUGACCUGUGGCUGGGGGUGAAAGGCCAAUCAAACCGGGAGAUAGCUGGUUCUCCCCGAAAGCUAUUUAGGUAGCGCCUCGUGAAUUCAUCUCCGGGGGUAGAGCACUGUUUCGGCUAGGGGGCCAUCCCGGCUUACCAACCCGAUGCAAACUGCGAAUACCGGAGAAUGUUAUCACGGGAGACACACGGCGGGUGCUAACGUCCGUCGUGAAGAGGGAAACAACCCAGACCGCCAGCUAAGGUCCCAAAGUCAUGGUUAAGUGGGAAACGAUGUGGGAAGGCCCAGACAGCCAGGAUGUUGGCUUAGAAGCAGCCAUCAUUUAAAGAAAGCGUAAUAGCUCACUGGUCGAGUCGGCCUGCGCGGAAGAUGUAACGGGGCUAAACCAUGCACCGAAGCUGCGGCAGCGACACUCAGGUGUUGUUGGGUAGGGGAGCGUUCUGUAAGCCUGCGAAGGUGGCCUGUGAGGGUUGCUGGAGGUAUCAGAAGUGCGAAUGCUGACAUAAGUAACGAUAAAGCGGGUGAAAAGCCCGCUCGCCGGAAGACCAAGGGUUCCUGUCCAACGUUAAUCGGGGCAGGGUGAGUCGACCCCUAAGGCGAGGCCGAAAGGCGUAGUCGAUGGGAAACGGGUUAAUAUUCCCGUACUUGGUGUUACUGCGAAGGGGGGACGGAGAAGGCUAUGUUGGCCGGGCGACGGUUGUCCCGGUUUAAGCGUGUAGGUGUGUGUUCCAGGUAAAUCCGGUUCACUUUAACACUGAGGCGUGACGACGAGGCACUACGGUGCUGAAGCAACAAAUGCCCUGCUUCCAGGAAAAGCCUCUAAGCAUCAGGUAACAUCAAAUCGUACCCCAAACCGACACAGGUGGUCAGGUAGAGAAUACCAAGGCGCUUGAGAGAACUCGGGUGAAGGAACUAGGCAAAAUGGUGCCGUAACUUCGGGAGAAGGCACGCUGACAUGUAGGUGAAGUGAUUUACUCAUGGAGCUGAAGUCAGUCGAAGAUACCAGCUGGCUGCAACUGUUUAUUAAAAACACAGCACUGUGCAAACACGAAAGUGGACGUAUACGGUGUGACGCCUGCCCGGUGCCGGAAGGUUAAUUGAUGGGGUCAGCGCAAGCGAAGCUCCUGAUCGAAGCCCCGGUAAACGGCGGCCGUAACUAUAACGGUCCUAAGGUAGCGAAAUUCCUUGUCGGGUAAGUUCCGACCUGCACGAAUGGCGUAAUGAUGGCCAGGCUGUCUCCACCCGAGACUCAGUGAAAUUGAACUCGCUGUGAAGAUGCAGUGUACCCGCGGCAAGACGGAAAGACCCCGUGAACCUUUACUAUAGCUUGACACUGAACAUUGAGCCUUGAUGUGUAGGAUAGGUGGGAGGCUUUGAAGUGUGGACGCCAGUCUGCAUGGAGCCGACCUUGAAAUACCACCCUUUAAUGUUUGAUGUUCUAACGUGGACCCGUGAUCCGGGUUGCGGACAGUGUCUGGUGGGUAGUUUGACUGGGGCGGUCUCCUCCUAAAGAGUAACGGAGGAGCACGAAGGUUGGCUAAUCCUGGUCGGACAUCAGGAGGUUAGUGCAAUGGCAUAAGCCAGCUUGACUGCGAGCGUGACGGCGCGAGCAGGUGCGAAAGCAGGUCAUAGUGAUCCGGUGGUUCUGAAUGGAAGGGCCAUCGCUCAACGGAUAAAAGGUACUCCGGGGAUAACAGGCUGAUACCGCCCAAGAGUUCAUAUCGACGGCGGUGUUUGGCACCUCGAUGUCGGCUCAUCACAUCCUGGGGCUGAAGUAGGUCCCAAGGGUAUGGCUGUUCGCCAUUUAAAGUGGUACGCGAGCUGGGUUUAGAACGUCGUGAGACAGUUCGGUCCCUAUCUGCCGUGGGCGCUGGAGAACUGAGGGGGGCUGCUCCUAGUACGAGAGGACCGGAGUGGACGCAUCACUGGUGUUCGGGUUGUCAUGCCAAUGGCACUGCCCGGUAGCUAAAUGCGGAAGAGAUAAGUGCUGAAAGCAUCUAAGCACGAAACUUGCCCCGAGA
rnacentral:rRNA from 1 species